rnacentral:lncRNA from 1 species
CGCAGUCCAUACCAAUACCUCAAAUGCGAGAUAGAGAUGUUGUUUCCAAUAGAACCCCGACUCAAAAUAAAGCAAUCUAAGAUAAGGAAUAGUAAUAGAACAAGAUACAAUGGAAAUUAACAUAUUCAAUAAUACCAAAUGCAAGAUACUCCAAGGACACAUCAACAUACAACAUCCUAACUCAGACUAACCUUCUACCCUAAUUCACCUCCUCCACCAACUUCCAAUCCAAGGUCAUGUCCUCGGUAAGCUGAAAAUGCUCCACGUCAUGUCUAAUCACGUCCCUCCAAUAUUUCUUUGGUUUACCUCUACCUUGCUUGAAACCAUCCCUAGCCAACCUCUCACACCUCCGCACUGGGGCAUCCGUACUCCUCCUCAUCACAUGACCGAACCAUCUCAACCUUGCUUCCCUCAUCUUGGCUUCUGAUACGGAACAAACAAAGGAACACAAAAUCACACCCCAAAACAGUCCACAAAUCACAACAAAUCGUGGACCAAAUGGGGACCUCUCUCGGAUUCACUAUCUAAAACAAGAAAGAAGAGGAUACAAGGUGUUAAUACACCAAAACAGCCAGCCAACAACAAGUUUAGCAACACAAGAUGAAGCUCCACAAUAUUACAAUAGCAACAAGAACAAACGGGUUACAUUAACAACACAAGAAGCCGAAACUAAAACAAGAUACAAGAUAGGUAGUUAGACAAGUGUUGAUGUAGUCUUAACACCCCAAUAGCAUAUUCCACUCUUGUACCUUUAAAAAUUCCCACAACAAACACNNNNNNNNNNNNNNNNNNNNNNNNNNNNNNNNNNNNNNNNNNNNNNNNNNNNNNNNNNNNNNNNNNNNNNNNNNNNNNNNNNNNNNNNNNNNNNNNNNNNNNNNNNNNNNNNNNNNNNNNNNNNNNNNNNNNNNNNNNNNNNNNNNNNNNNNNNNNNNNNNAAAAAUACUCAAAAGUGUCAUGAUCAUGAUCAUACUUGUAUCAUCCUCUCCAUCUUGAGAGGAAUUUGCCCACAAAUUCAUAACCUCACCUCUUUUACAAAGGCACUUCACAAUCUCCUUCACACGGCCACACAUCUUCUACAUCUUCUUCGUCUUGCAUUUUAACCUCUUUUGGCUCUCCAUCUUGAGGCUUGCCAUCAACCUUAGCCGAUUCACUACUUCUUCCCCAAGAUAUUACAAUUUUUCCUCCCUUAGGAUCACGUUCCUCCGGUUUGGGCACUCACUAGCCUUGUGCCCCCAUCCUUGGCAUUUGAAGCAUUGAAAUCCCUUGGGAUUAGAAGUAGAAUUCAAUUUACCUUCAUACCUUGGAGGGUGUUUUUGGACAACCUUGGUGGCCUCGGGUUGGGUAGCCAUGAAUGAGUUAUCUUUGAGCUCCCUCUCAACCUGUAAAACCGCAUGGAAGAUGCCAUCUAUGGUGUCGAAUUUGUGAAGCGUCAUGCGAGUGGAGAUGUCCUUGUUUAACCCAACCUUGAAGCGCACAAUGUCAUGACUUACUUGCUCGCCUCGGUGGUCAAGUUUCAACAUCAAUUGUUGAAAUUCAUCGUAGUAAGCCAUGACACUCUUGUUCCCUUGCCUCAGAUUGUACAAUUUAGCAAGGAGCUCAUGCCUAUAAGCCUCGAGCAAGUACCUUUGUCGCAUAAGGUUCUUCAAUCGAAACCAAGGAGAAGGUUGUCCCCCAAUCAUCUCAUUCCCAAACCGUUUAACAUACUCCCACCAUGUAUUAGCAUACCCUUCGAAGUGAGCUAUAGCAUAACAACUUUUUUUUUCUUCGGUGUGAGAUCAUUAAGUUGGAAGAUCUUGUCACAAGAUGACUCCCAUGCAAGGUAGGCCCCUACAUUAUGGUUUUGGUUCCCUUGUUGGUUCCAAUAACCAACUCUUUCUUCUCGACCGUGAACUUCUCUCAGAUCACCUUGCUUAUCCCUCAUCUCCUUCCUUAUUAUGUAAACAUCAUAAUAUGGUCCAUAACCAACAUAUUGUUCUCCUCUACCAUACCCCUCAACAUGGAUGGGUCUAUUUGGGUUAAGUGGAGGUUGUAGUGGUGGGAUUGGAUUUAGAUAGUGAGGUCUUUGGUCAAGUGGAGUUUGGAUGGGAGGGUUCAGGUUUGGUGAUGGUAUUUGGGUUCCAAGCCCUUCUUGUUAGACUUGGUGGAGUGGAGGAUGGCUUGGUCUAUCUUGUUCUCGGCUUUGGGAGUAAAGAUUGGUUUGAUUUAUGGCAAUUGGUGUAUAUUGCAUUUGGUGCAAGGUCUCGAGAGUAUAAGUUGGGGAAAUGUUUUAAGGGGUAGAAGGUCGACUCCUUUGACUUUCCACACGUUCUAAUCUCCCACUCAUUGAUGCCACAUCCAUAUCUAAUUUCUCAAGACCCACAUUCAACCUAGCCACAUCUCGGGACGUAGUUUCAAGGCGAGCCAAAAUGAGAUUGAUGGCAUUACUAUCCAUUGUAUGAGCAUUUGAAGCCUCGGGUUCCAUUGUGGUGGUAUCAAAAAUAACCCUUCAAGUUACGGUCCAAUCAAGAUACCAAAUCAGUCCGCAACGUCACACAACAAUACAAUGCAAAACCUACAACACAAAACACAUGUUAUUGCAAUACAACCUCCCACAAUGAGAUCCCACCUUCAAGUUUCUUCAAACUCAAGCUCAACAUUGGUGGAUGGCUCAAAUAACCUCCAAUUUAGCUCAAAUUCGAAUCUUAUACUCCUAUAGUGUUAGAGAACACAAAUCUAACACUAAAAACACAAGAAAAACGCAAAAUCAAAAACUCAAAAUUUGACCAUGGAUCAAAAACGGGUUUAGUAUUUUUUGGAGGACUUUCGAUUUUGACACUUCUUUUUUGUUGGAAUUUUCAAUUUCUCUACUCUAAUAGUAUUAGGGAACAAGAUCUAACACUAGAAACACACAAAAAUCAAGUUUUUUGAAAGACCCUAAAAACGUGAACAGUAACUUUUUUUUUUCAAGAUAACAAUCCCAAGAUUGAUUUUGUUGGAACAAAAUCAAACCGUGCUUUGAUACCAAAUGAUACGGAACAAACAAGAGAACACGAAAUCACACCCCAAAAUAGUCCACAAAUCACAACAAAUUGUGGACCAAAUGGGGACCUCUCUCGGAUUCACUAUCUAGAACAAGAAAGAAGAGGAUACAAGGUGUUAAUACACCAAAACAGCCAGCCAACAACAAGUUUAGCAACACAAGAUGAAGCUCCACAAUAUUACAAUAGCAACAAGAAUAAACGGGUUACAUUAAUAACACAAGAAGCCGAAACUAAAACAAUAUACAAGAUAGGUAGUUAGACAAGUGUUGAUAUAGUCUUAACAACCCAAGAGCAUAUUCCACUCUUGGAUCUUUAAAACUUCACACAACAAACACGUAACUCUUACAAUUGACACAAGAGAGGCGUCCACCACCCAAGCACCAAUGUAUCAAGCAAAAUGCAACACACAAAAGAAUCCACCCUUAUGUUAUGCCCUAGUUUCAAUUGGACUCUCUCUCACUCUAAGAGAAGUAUUCUUCAAUAAUAAUGAUCAACUAAAGAAAUAAACCCUACAAUGUUCUAUUUAUACUACAUUACAAUAAUAGACAAACUGACAAAAGGACCCUUUAGUGACUAGUCUUAAAAAAUACUCAAAAGUGUCAUGAUCAUGAUCAUACUUGUAUCAGCUUCCACCGAAGCCACUCCCAUCUUAUCUCCAAUAACCUCAUUGCAUACAUUUCAAUAAUCAACACCUAUCAAAAACAACAUAUUCAGUGUAGUGUAACCCCAUAAAGUGGGGCCGGGGUCUGGGAUAAAGUGUACGUAGACCUUACCCUACCUUAGAGGUUGUUUCCGAUAGACCCUCGGCUUAAGGAAAAAUAGUCCAAAGCAAUCCCAAAAAAGAGUAACGAAAGUACAAGAAACAACAUAUAAUAACAAAAACAAUUGACAGUAACAAAACUAUAC